AGCAAAGCGGCAAACAGAGAGGAAGCCGCAGGUUGCUGGCCAUGGUAGAAUCAGAGGGGAUAGGGGGAAGAGAAGCGGCUGCUUGGAGCUUAAUUUCCAGCUAGUUUUAAACCACAACACUUUGAAAGGUCAAAACAGAAGAUCAAUAUUACUACUAAGAAAACUCAGCUUCCUGGCAAAGUGAUGUAAAAGGGGUAAAGAACAAGUAGAAAUGCCCAUCUAGCUGCAUUAAAAUUCAGGAAAAUAAACACAUGAGUCCAGUCAGUGUGAUAUGUAGGCUGGAAAUUAAAACCUGC